rnacentral:rRNA from 1 species
UACGUAGGAGGCAAACGUUGUCCGGAUUUACUGGGUGUAAAGGGUGCUCAGGCGGUCUUGUAAGUUAGAAGUGAAAUCUCCCGACUUAAUCGGGAAACUGCUUUUAAUACUGCAGGGCUUGAGUGCAGAAGAGGCGGAUGGAAUUUCUGGUGUAGCAGUGAAAUGCGUAGAUAUCAGAAAGAACACCAGUGGCGAAGGCGGUCCGCUGGUCUGUCACUGACGCUAAAGCACGAAAGCGUGGGGAGCAAACAGG